rnacentral:lncRNA from 1 species
GGAUCAGUUGGGGGUGCUCUUGGCUACAAGUAGCAAUGUUAUGAACGCAUUUGCUGUCUUGUUAAUAAGAACUCCCUGGGCUGGUCUUUUCUGCUCAGUCAGGCUCAGCUGAUUGGUGACAGUGACAUUGCCCUUCCUGGCCAUACGUUGACUCUUCAAUGCCAUGCACAUGUGCGCUCAGGACCACACACAGAGCAGCAGGAAGGGGGGAUGAGGCAAGGCCUCCUCCUUCCAAGACUCUGGCCUUUUUAACAGGAAGAAAACGACUUCUCCAAAACCCAGCAAAUACUGCCUGACAUCUCACUGGCAAGAACCAGUCAAGUGCCCAUGCAUAUGACUGGUGCAGGUGCUGCCAGUCCAGGGACGACAUUUCGAGGACCACUGGCUUCAGUGAUCUUGAGCUGGGUACAUGACCACACAAACCAAUCAAAGGGAAAAAGCAGACUCCCCAGGGAGCAGGAGUUCUCAGCCCUGGUGCAGGCUGGAGCCACCUAGGGAGCUUUGAAAACUACCCAUGCCCACGAGGGACAGAAUCGGGAUGAUGAAGAUGUUCUAAAACCGGAUUACAGUAACGGUUGCACAAACUGGGAAACUUAAAAAUCAUUCAAUGGUACACUUAAAAUGGGUGAAUUUUAUGGUAUGU